rnacentral:lncRNA from 1 species
UGUCUAAAUGUCUAGGUGGAUUUCUUCUCUUAAAAAUUUAGGGGAAAAUUUUGGAAGAAUUUUUCAUGACUUUAAGAAAAUAAGAAAAAAAAAUCUAUUUUCCAACUAACAGUUGACUGGAACCACAAAAACUACAUUCCUAUUACUUUCUAGCUCACCAUAGUCCUCACUACUCCCUAACACUACCAUAACUGAGGCAAAGGGACAGUCACUAUAAUUGUGUCUACAUGGUUGAUCAUAGGUUUGGAGGAAAGUGAAAUAUUUCUUGUACAAAAAUUUGAAAGAGAGGAGGACUCAGAUUUCAAGAAGAAGAGAGAACACCUAUUUCUGUGUGGAAGUGAAGGAUGUUCCUGUGUUAAUAUGUGAAGCAGCUAUAUAAGAAUUUGACUAAAAAUGCCAUUACAACCAAGCUCUGCUCUAGGGAUACAUGCCACAUUCGUGUAUGGCUUCUGCUAGAUUCUGAAGAGAUUUGGGGAAAGACCUCAACACUUCCCAAGCCAGAGUCUCACUCAGUACCUGUGCACGAGCUUCCUUCUGGGCAAUGUAUGCUUUCAGGAUGUGACCAAUUGAUCAGUGGUAAUUUUAUAAUGUAGACCAUUGUAAAUUAAACUGAUUGUGGUGUAU